UGUGAGUUUUCUGAGAGUGUCUUACAUCUAAAACUUCUUCUCCUACUUCUCAUCUUUGGAAGAGUCCAAAUCAAGAAGGAGGCAUCUAAUCGACCAUCGAAGAAGGAUCAGCACAGUACUAGCAUACUGUGCUGAUUUCCUGGACCAGAACUUCUGAUCGUGAUUUGUGGGCUCGUGUGGAUGACUCCUAAUGGUCGGAUGCAUGUGUGGCUCAUAAC
rnacentral:lncRNA from 1 species